UACGGAGGGUGCAAGCGUUAUCCGGAUUCACUGGGUUUAAAGGGUGCGUAGGUGGGCAGGUAAGUCAGUGGUGAAAUCUCCGGGCUUAACCCGGAAACUGCCGUUGAUACUAUUUGUCUUGAAUAUUGUGGAGGUAAGCGGAAUAUGUCAUGUAGCGGUGAAAUGCUUAGAUAUGACAUAGAACACCAAUUGCGAAGGUAGCUUACUACACAACGAUUGACGCUGAGGCACGAAAGCGUGGGGAUCAAACAGG
rnacentral:rRNA from 1 species